AAGGAAAGGUUAUAUUUUAAGAAAAACUUCGGGGAAAACGAUUUUCACCCAUUAUAAAUUCAAUCCAAAUAAGGCAAAUAACCAAAAAGAAAAAAAAAAAAAAGAAAAAAAAAAGAUUUGACCUCUCAUUAUUAUAAGGAACCACCUAAAGUUUAAGUAAUAAUUACAACAUAAAUUAACCCAAUCCAAAUCACUCUCCCCAACGUUCCAAUUUUCAAAUGGAUUUCUUUUUUUGUUGGGGGUAUAAAUCCAAAUCGUUAUCUAUUGUUCCAUAUUCAACGUUGAUACUCAUCAAUGUCCGCAGAGGGUUGUGAGAGAUGAACAAAUCAAAUCAAAUCACACUCGGGAAAACCGCGAUUACCAGCAACCAUGCUUUCAAACUGGAGUUUGUCCCUGAACGGAUAGCUAUAGUAGGAAGUGGUUAUCGUGAACUUGAAUUCAGUGAUGUGUAUACUGCAAUUGGUAGUGAGUAUGUCAAGCACUCUUGCUUUCAAAAUGGCUAAAUCUGGAUGGAAUGUCGUUGUGAGCAAUCAUCGGGACUGUCAAUAACUUGUGAGAUGGCAUUGUCGAAACCAACCAAGGGGCACUAAUUGGAAAGCACUGGCAUUGCCGAAACCAAUUCAUCUAUGUCUAUGUUGGUAAGCAUUAAUCACUGAUGUAUCAAUAUCACCUAUCUUUUCAAAUGUAGAUGUGAGUACCUUUGUAAUAUUCUCCAACGGUGCUUUUAUUUUAUUUUCCUCUACAAAAUCCUGAACCUCAGGCCUGCAUUGUAUCUUAGCUCUGUAUUCGGAUUUAUCAAUUAAAUCGAAGUAAGAAACAGAAGGAGUUGUAAAAGAGAGAGCUAUCUAUGUAAACCUUUUGCUAAAUUUUACUACUCUAAAAUGGUGUGGAGUAUAGUUACUACCCUGGCGUUCGAUACUUGUUGGCUAAAAGGCUGAUGAGGGGCUUCAUUUUUCUUUUUGCCCUAACUUUGUAGGUUAAUUAAAAAAUCUGGAUGUACCAAUAAUUAAAUCAAUAAUCAUAGUUUGUUUGAUUUCAACUUACUUAUACUCAAUAUUAUAGAGCAUUAUGACU